rnacentral:rRNA from 1 species
AUUGAACGCUGGCGGAAUGCUCUACACAUGCAAGUCGAACGGCAGCACGGGGGCAACCCUGGUGGCGAGUGGCGAACGGGUGAGUAAUACAUCGGAACGUGCCCAGUCGUGGGGGAUAACGUAGCGAAAGUUACGCUAAUACCGCAUACGAUCUACGGAUGAAAGCGGGGGACCGUAAGGCCUCGCGCGAUUGGAGCGGCCGAUGUCAGAUUAGGUAGUUGGUGAGGUAAAGGCUCACCAAGCCGACGAUCUGUAGCUGGUCUGAGAGGACGACCAGCCAAACUGGGACUGAGACACGGCCCAGACUCCUACGGGAGGCAGCAGUGGGGAAUUUUGGACAAUGGGCGCAAGCCUGAUCCAGCCAUUCCGCGUGCAGGACGAAGGCCUUCGGGUUGUAAACUGCUUUUGUACGGAACGAAAAGGCUCUGGUUAAUACCUGGGGCUCAUGACGGUACCGUAAGAAUAAGCACCGGCUAACUACGUGCCAGCCGCCGCAGUAA